ensembl:lncRNA novel transcript, antisense to PARD3B
GAGACAAGCGGCUGAACAUCGAGAGGAGAAGCAACUGCGCAUCAGAGACUAGAAGCAACUGCGCAUCAGAGACUAAGGCUAGACGCGGCUUAAUGUCAGACCACACGACUUCGGAGACGACCCGGCUGGAGUCAGCCAGGCUUCAAGGAAAGACUACUUUCUUCCCGCACCAUCCCCGCUCUAGCUCCUUUUCCACUGACAGCCACCUCCAUCAGUCAAUAAAACCUCUGCAUUCAACAUCCUUCAAGUCCGUGUGACCUGAUUCUUCCUGGAUGCCAGACAAGAACCCGGGUACCAAGAGGGCAGGGUAUAUGUCACCCUGACUCUCCACUGAGCUGGUUAAGGCUUAGCUCUCUGUUGAAGGCAACAACCAAAAGGGCAUUGUUUGUAAUACACAACCUCUGGGGCUCCAGAAGUUGCGGGCAACCACUGAUUGCUACCACGGGCCCGGUUACUGGGUUUGGUCCUGCCAGCACCUAAAGGCACUUGCCCCAGGUCCUGCACCUGCUCACCUGCGUGCUCCCCCUCCCACAAGCGGUUUGAGCUCGGCUGCAAAGGAGCCACCCCUCAUCGCAAGUCCUGCGAGGGAGUCAGGGACUCUCCUGUCUCACCAGCUAUACUUAACUUGUGUACUUUUCUGCACGUGUGAUAUACUUCCAAGGUAUUUACAUAAAAAUGAAAAUAAUAUCUUUGCUUCCAAAAAUGUGACUUUUUCAAACUGAAAUACCUAAUUGUUCCUUUUGCACAUGCCAUCUCUACAGCUAAACAAAUGAAGACCACCAAAAAGCUGUUCAGAGUAAGUCUAGUUUCCUCAGAAGAAUAAGGACAAAUCCUAAAACAAAAGGAGUGUAGAAGUCCCAGAAGAUGGGAAGGCCAGGUUAUCCUACCAAUAGAACAUGUAGCUAACUGACUACCAGUUAUUCAACAUUUCUAAGAAGCCCAGGAGAUGCUUAGUUGACCACAGGCUUUAACAAGUCAACAGUGAUGAGUCUGCUAAAAAUAUUAUUAUUACCAUCUUAGGCUAUGAUAAUACAAGGACUGUGUGAGAACAGAACAAGGAAUCGUUUCACUCUGUGCCAAAGUGGUCCCACUACAUUUAGAGUAUUUUGUCAGAUUUGAAGAGACCAUCAUUAACUAACUGGAGAUGACCCAUGUGACAGUAACCACAAAGGUUAAGGAGAUGGAAAUACAUCUUAUGAUGAGUGAGCUGAAUUAAUUGAGGCUUGUCUAAAUUGGAGAACAAAAAGGAAAACACUUUGCUAUUUCAAAGACAGAACUACAGUUUACAGGGCACUGAGCUCUUAAAGUUAUCAGGCCUGAAGUCAGGCGUGGAUCUUACUAGGUGAACAUCAAGAUGUGAGUGGACCUGAAUUCCUUUCUGGAGGCUCCAAGGGAGGAUUCAUUAACUUGCUUUUUCUACCUUCUGAAGAGGUUGCCCACAUUCUUUAGCUCUUUGGUCCCUUCCAACUUCAAAACCAUAAAUGGCCAGUCAAGUCUGACCUUCUCUCCUGCUUCCCUCUUCCACAAAUAAAGACCCCUGUGAUUACA